UACGUAGGCAGCGAGCGUUGUUCGGAGUUACUGGGCGUAAAGCGUGCGUAGGCGGCCAACUAAGUCAGACGUGAAAUCCCUCAGCUUAACUGGGGAACUGCGUCUGAUACUGGAUGGCUUGAGUUUGGGAGAGGGAUGCGGAAUUCCAGGUGUAGCGGUGAAAUGCGUAGAUAUCUGGAGGAACACCGGUGGCGAAGGCGGCAUCCUGGACCAACACUGACACUGAUGAGCGAAAGCCAGGGGAGCAAACGGG
rnacentral:rRNA from 1 species